rnacentral:rRNA from 1 species
CCUACGGGGGGCUGCAGUAAGGAAUAUUGGUCAAUGGACGAAAGUCUGAACCAGCCAUCCCGCGUGCAGGAUGAAAGCCCUAUGGGUUGUAAACUGCUUUUAGCAGAGAAGAAAAGCUUUCAUUAAUGAGAGUCUGACGGUAUCUGCAGAAUAAGCACCGGCUAACUCCGUGCCAGCAGCCGCGGUAAUCCGGAGGGUGCGAGCGUUAUUGGGAAUUACGGGUGCUAAGGCGGAGUAAUAAGGAGUAUUAGAAAUCUUGUCGCUUAACGAUAAAAUUGCCAAGGAUACUGGUACUCUUGAAUUGGGUUGAGGUUAGCGGAAUGGGACAUGUAGCGGUGAAAUGCAUAGAUAUGUCAUGGAACACCAAUUGCGAAGGCAGCUAACUGGGCCUUGAUUGACGCUGAGGCACGAAAGCGUGGGUAGCGAACAGGAUUAGAUACCCCAGUAGUC